rnacentral:rRNA from 1 species
AUCCUGGCUCAGAUUGAACGCUGGCGGCAGGCCUCAUACAUGCAAGUCGAACGAGAAAGUAUCUUCGGAUACGAGUACAGUGGCGGACGGGUGAGUAAUACAUAGGAAUCUACCCAAUGGAGGGGGAUAGCUCGAGGAAACUCGAAUUAAUACCGCAUAAUCUCCACAGAGUAAAGAGGGCUUCGGCUCUCGCCAUCGGAUGAGCCUAUGCAGGAUUAGCUUGUAGGUGAGGUAAAGGCUUACCAAGGCGACGAUCCUUAGCUGGUUUGAGAGGAUGACCAGCCACAUCGGGACUGAGACACGGCCCGGACUUCUACGGAAGGCAGCAGUAGGGAAUAUUGGACAAUGAGCGAAAGCUUGAUCCAGCCAUGCCGCGUGUGCGAUGACGGCCCUCGGGUUGUAAAGCACUUUAGGUAACGAGGAAAAGUUAGGUGUCAAUACCAUCUAACCUUGACGUUAAUUACAAGAAUAAGCACCGGCUAAAUC